UCUUUCCAUACCACACACACACACACACACACACACGCACACGAACGUUUCCCUAAGGGCUCUCCUUGACACACAGAGAAAGGCUGGUAAUUCUCUGUUGAUCAUUAGCUACAGUAUGGAAGCCUCUGUUAUACUUGGAUAUCUCUGUGGAGUAUUGUUGUUUUUUAACGUCAAAUGGUAAAUACUUAAUAAUGAUAAGCUGAGAUAUAACACAGUAUUAAGCCAAGCCUUCAAUUCACACAAGCUUUUCAAUGAUUUCACAUUACGCCACACAAGGGACGAGACAUUGCAGUGCAAGACCCGCCAGGACCAGUUUGAAUUUGGCGCUUCAAUCAGUAACAUCUAGAUACUUUGACAAUUACAGUUAUAAUGGCCUGAGAUUUAUUUUUACACGCUUAUAAUUCUUUAUAUUUAAUUUUCUAUUAGUUUAGUAUAAUAUAAAAGAAGUUGGUGCUUGUUAUUGAAAGCUAAAAGUGUCUUGUGGAUAGGUUGGCUUGCGUACUGUGCGGAGCAGGCUGGGACGGACGACACAACCAGACGUCAGACACAAGGCACUAGGUUAAAAGGGUGCCAUAAACUGGUGCUUUAUUUAACGUAUUUUCGCAGAACAAGACAGUGACAGGGGCCGUGGUGGGUGCCUGCGUGUGCUGGUGCAAGCUUGGUGCCUGCCGGGAGGUGCCUGCAGUGCCACAAGGGAUAAUAUUGAUACAAAUGUAGAGGGGCGAAAUAGAGAAGCAGGAAGACCACCACCACCACCACCACCAUCACCAGCAGUGUGGAAGAAAGCUGGUGAUAAAACUCUCUCUCGCUCUCCCUCACUCUCCCACGCCACGGAAGCAGUGGAAUAAAGCACAGGAGGAGGAAGUGAGAGGAUAAUGAAGUUUGGAAGUUUGUGAUACAGCAACGGCAACCCUCCGAUCCGGCAAGCAAGUUGGCGGCAGCGAUGGCGGUGGCGGCGGCAGUGGUGGUGAGGUGGACGGCAGGGACAGAGGGGCAGUACAGGCUGCGGACAUCAAGGAGAAGAGGAACGCACGGACAAGCAAGGUGUUAUUCGGCAGUCUGAUCCUGGACCUGCUCGGCUUGAAGGUGGUGCUGCCCGUGUCUCCUGCUCUCCUCGACUGUUACUCCAAGCACAACACCAGCGGCUUGUAUUCCUCUCAGCUCUCCUGUGUGACUUAUUACCAGCAUAUCAUCGGUUUCGCUGCAAGGUUCCAUUCUGUCUUGUUUGGCACUGAUUGGCGUGACAUUCAGCAUAGGCUUCACCGUCGGGCACACUGUGGGGGCUGCGUUCUCCCGCUGGGGAAGUACUGGGUGGUUCGCGGCCUCGGCUGUCUACGCACGCACUCUCACUGUGGCUAACAUAAUAUUCUUUGCUGUCUUCUUCCAGGAAUCGCUGCCUGAGGGCAGAAGGAGGAGGGACAUCGGUGCCAGUUUGACCGAGGCUUGGGAGGUGAUCAAUCCUAGGGCUCUAUUCUCCGUCAGCUGUGUCAAGGGCCUGGGCAGAGAAGCCUGGAGUUAACGCUGAUCUUUGCAACCCACCACAAGCAUAGUUACGACUCGUUGGCGCAGGACCGCAAGUUUUCCUUCCUGGGCCUGGUCAUGGCAAUUACACAGAGAGGGUUUAUGCGAAGUGUUAAGACUGGAACUGAAAAAGCAACUGCCAAUUAGGCACACACCUACAUUGUGAUGCAGCUCCUUGGAGGUGGAGAGCUGGCUGCCUCAGAGGAUCAGGAAACACGAGAGGUUCACAGAGGCUCGCCUCGGGCUUCGGUCGUCGUGAGGAACCUGGUGUCAGCAGUUCACUACGUGCACAGGAAAAGCAUCAGUGUUCACGGAGACCUAAAGCCAGACAGGGGUGAAAAGGGUUGGUGUUGAGGAUAGACAGAAAAGAAAAGAAAAGAAAGGAAAGGUAAAAAAGGAAGUUUUUUUGCAUUGAUUUUCCAUCUGCUUAUUUUAAAGAAUUUAUUGCAUGGAAUAUUAUUGAUCUCCAUCAUUUGUAUGGCCUUUAUAAUAAAAAGUAUGAAUUUAU